rnacentral:rRNA from 1 species
GACGUAGGGUGCAAGCGUUGUCCGGAAUUAUUGGGCGUAAAGAGCUCGUAGGCGGUUUGUCGCGUCUGCUGUGAAAACUCGGGGCUUAACUCCGGGCCUGCAGUGGGUACGGGCAGACUAGAGUGCGGUAGGGGAGACUGGAAUUCCUGGUGUAGCGGUGAAAUGCGCAGAUAUCAGGAGGAACACCGGUGGCGAAGGCGGGUCUCUGGGCCGUAACUGACGCUGAGGAGCGAAAGCGUGGGGAGCGAACAGG